rnacentral:rRNA from 1 species
UACGGGGGGGGCAAGCGUUGUUCGGAAUUACUGGGCGUAAAGGGCUCGUAGGCGGCCAACUAAGUCGGACGUGAAAUCCCCGGGCUCAACCUGGGAACUGCAUUUGUGACUGCAUGGCUAGAGUACGGUAGAGGGGGAUGGAAUUCCGCGUGUAGCAGUGAAAUGCGUAGAUAUGCGGAGGAACACCGAUGGCGAAGGCAAUCCCCUGGACCUGUACUGACGCUCAUGCACGAAAGCGUGGGGAGCAAACAGG